CUGAGCUGCUGGGUUCUGCUAUGGUUUACAGUGUUUCCACCUUUGGUGUUGUUCUGAAAGCAGCAACAGGUGAAAGUUUUGCGGCAAAAACACAGUGUUAUUUCCUCUGACAGUGAGGGGGAAUUUGUGAACCACUUGUGUCCCUCAAAUCUUCCGUGUCCUAAGGCAUCCCAGAGCCCAGGAGUUUGAGGAAUUUCAGGAAAAUGGAAGCUUGGAAGUGUGGAGGCCAGUGGCUCACUCAGAGUGCGUCCUGCCUCCUGCUCUCAGGCCACAGGAAUUUCACAGCCAGCACAUGGGUGGCAGCCGGUGCCGCACGACGGCAAGCAAAAGGAACACAGCAAGGAAUUGCGCCUCGUUUUCUGGAAUCCAGGCUGGACAGCAGCCAUCUCUCCCCUGAGUCCCCCUGAGGAGUCGUGGAGAGCAGCUCCAAGCAGGUUUCCGGUGGUGCGUCUCAAACCCAUGGACAGGAAGCUGAGGUCAUCAGUUGCUUUCUCAUUGCUGUCCGGGGCCACCUACCGCCUCUGCCUCCCGACUGGAUGGAGUUGCCUUUCCUGUAGCCAUCGCCGGUAGACUCCAGAGCCCUGUGGUGUUGGCACUGCCUCCUAUCUAGGGAGCAUCCCAGACCCAGCCUGGGGCUCUGACUCAGCUCUGACUCAGGCCCAGGCCUCAUGACUCCAGACUCCUUCUGCUGCUUCCUGCAUGGCUGGUCUGGAUGCACGUUCAGUGUGUGUGGAAAAUGCGGUGAUGGCCACUUGAACACACCGAGGUCAGCAGCCUGCAGGGCCCCCUGGGGACCCUACAGUCCGGUACUGGGCUUUGGUCCUAACUCUCCUCAGCCACCGGAGGGCACCCCGAAGAUCCACUUAGGAAUCGGCUUUUGCCAUUCACCACUGAGCAUCUCAAGGAAGAGAAUUUGAGGGUCAGGUUCUUCAGUACUUCUCCUUUCUGGGCAGCUGCAGACAGCAAUGGAGAACAAAAGUAGAAUCCAGUCUUGGUGCGUAUAAAAGCUUCUUUUCAGGUGUCUCAGAGGAGCAUCUCCUUAGUAGGAGAGAGAACGCUGACCUAAGGAGCUGGCGUGGUGCUUUGGCUGCAACAGUGCACCGUGACUGAGGGAAGCCCAUCAAACCCUAAGGAGAUUUGGCUCACCUUUUGCAUUUCAACUGACCAAAUCAGUCCUUUGAGGGAGAGGGGAUGGAAACGGGUUUUUGAAUUACAUUAGCUACCUCUAGCAUUUGCUCCUCAGAAUUACCUGGUGACAGCGCAGUGCCACAGCGUGCAUCAGGAUGUCCAGAGAGGCCUGGCACCCAGCGUGCCACUGCUCAGGGUGGCAGAGCCUUUAGGAGUCACAGGGCAGGAGCCCUCAGAGGGCUGUGGGUCCGGUCCUCCCUCUCACUGGGCCUCCUGGCCCCAGCACCCUGACUGCUUGGCUGGGAGACACUGGUUUGUGCCCCUGUGAUGUGUACAUCACAUGACCAAAUGCACCAGAGCUGGGCCACACAUGGGAUUUGUGAACAGAUCAGAUGGCAUUGGAAGCUCCCAGAAACAGCAAACCUCCAAGUACUUUGCAAAGGGCUCACGCUAUGCAAUCAGUCCGAGGCUGGUGGAACAGCGCAGCGCUGCAGUCCUGUGCUGAAUGUGCUAAGUGGUCAGCAGGCCAUGCAGGGCGCCCGAGGCUUCCCCCACCUGCAGCUCUGCUCCACCGGGCCCUGCCACCGUGAAGACUGCGCUGGAGCCAGUGGGCUGUGGACGGGACCCUCUGAAACUGUGAGCACAAGAACCCUCUCCUUGCAGGGUGGUGUCACUUCUGGUCCCAUGGCACAAACCCUGACCAGUACACGGGUGACUGAAAUGUCCCAGGUGCUGCUUAAAAACUCCAAGUACAUUUCAUGGGGAAACCAUGCAGCACAAGUGUUUUGUUUCGAGGAGAUUGAAGGGCGGGAGGAGAAGUGGACCGAGCGGGCUGACUGUCCAGUGCAGACAGGAGAAAUUGGCCCGGACAGGCCACGGCCAGGGCUCUGCUUCCUGCUCUCUGCUUACCAAGGGCAGGAGGAGACAGGCG
rnacentral:lncRNA from 1 species